CCUACGGGUGGCAGCAGUGAGGAAUAUUGGUCAAUGGUCGGGAGACUGAACCAGCCAAGCCGCGUGAGGGAGGAAGGUACAGAGUAUCGUAAACCUCUUUUGUCAGGGAACAAAGGCGGGGACGUGUCCCCGGAUGAGUGUACCUGAAGAAAAAGCAUCGGCUAACUCCGUGCCAGCAGCCGCGGUAAUACGGAGGAUGCGAGCGUUAUCCGGAUUUAUGGGGUUUAAAGGGUGCGCAGGCGGUCUGUUAAGUCAGCGGUCAAAGCCCGGGGCUCAACCCCGGCCCGCCGUUGAAACUGGCAGUCUCGAGUUGGAGAGAAGUAUGCGGAAGGCGCGGUGGAGCGGUGAAAUGCAUAGAUAUCGCGCAGAACUCCGAUUGCGAAGGCAGCAUGCCGGCUCCACACUGACGCUGAGGCACGAAAGCGUGGGUAUCGAACAGGAUUAGAUACCCGGGUAGUC
rnacentral:rRNA from 1 species